UUUCUAUGCUCGCACGCAGCGCGGAGCAUGGCGUCCCCGGGAGCUGGGGCAUGGGAGGCGGUUGUGGCGUGGGAUCUAGGGUGUCUGCAGCGGGCUCGGCGGCCGUGUGAGGCGCUCGGCCCGCCGGACCCCGCGUGAAGCGGGUCGGUGUGGAAGCCGAGCGCCGUUUGGAUGUAGAUCUUCGCCGCAGGCCCAGAGCUGGGCGGGAAUAAAGCGAAGACCCAGGUCACACGGUGAGUACCUGAAGCUGACGGAUAUUUCCUGAACGACACGCGGGAGCACAGAGUGGGUUAAAGGGUGUCCUUGAUGAUUUGGAAAUUUGAUCUACAGAAGCACAGUGAUUUAAAUUUUCUAGGGGCCGUGUCAAAACUCCAUAGAUGAAUGCUCAUUUGUAACAAGGCUAUGAAUAAAUGCUUCGAUGUGCUGUUC
ensembl:lincRNA Epb41l4aos erythrocyte membrane protein band 4.1 like 4a, opposite strand